UACAGAGGGUGCAAGCGUUAAUCGGAAUUAUUGGGCGUAAAGGGUGCGUAGGUGGUUUGAUAAGUUGGAUGUGAAAGUCCUGGGCUUAACCUGGGAACUGCGUCUAAAACUGUCAAGCUAGAGUACUGUAGAGGAAGGUGGAAUUUCCGGUGUAGCGGUGAAAUGCGUAGAUAUCGGAAGGAACAUCAGUGGCGAAGGCGACUUUCUGGACAGAUACUGACACUGAGGCACGAAAGCGUGGGGAGCAAAC
rnacentral:rRNA from 1 species